rnacentral:lncRNA from 1 species
AGAGGAAGGAGAGAUCAUGGCGGACGGGAGGCAAGACUAGCCUGCAGCUCUGGACAGAGCAGCGAGUGGGAGCUCGCAUUGUAAACUUUAGCUCCAGAUGGACGGCAAAAACAAACCAGCAAUCCCCAGAGGACCCACAGACCCUCUGAAGGAAGUGGGCUGCUCCUGCAGGACCCGGGAGACCCCCAAAACUGUGAGUGUCCAGCUGCCGAAGUGGGAAAGGGAAACCCUCCUCUCCGGAACAGACACCCCCUGAGAAGUCUAUUUGUGGGAGAAGUUUCCGACUUUACCUGGAGCUGAGUCAGUCUGGAGAGCUGACUGAAAUACAGGGAUAGAGGAGGCAGCAGCAAGGCCCUGGGAGCUGAAUGGGUCCCCGGGCAGCCCAUUCCUGCCUGGCACCACAGGGAUCCAACGGGAGAGGAACAGAGGGUAAAACUACACGGAGAGAAGGAAAUCUCUAGCUGAACUUUGUAACAAUUCGAACAGCGUGAGAAGUCUCCUGGCCAGAACUCGGGGGAGGACACAAAUCUCCUGCACAGUUAAUAUCCAGAGUCACACGUGGAGAGGAAGCAUCACAAUGAGACCAUACAACCAUAUAAUCUGUUCAAGUCCUAGAAGGUGUUGGCAGAGCUGCAGGACUGACCUAGGUCAAUGGCUGUGGGGGAAGAAAAGACACCAGAUGUUUCCGAUCAAGAGACAAGAGAAACAUUCAGCGUGACCCUAGAAAAUCUUUCUAAAGAGAUUUCACAACACUCAGCUCAUGUUUCGGGUCCAUGAAACCAUCUUUAGAUGAAUGAUGCCUUGUUACCUGUGAGAGGAAGUGAGCAGCGAGGAGUCCUGUCAGUUCCGGAAGGAGUAUUUGGGUUACUGUUCUUCAUUGUCUGCAGUUCUGUCUUGCUCAGUCGCCCAGGCUGAAGUGCAGUGGUGUGAUCAUAGCUCACUGCAGCCUCAACUUCCUGGAGUCAAGCAAGCCUCCCACAUCAGCCUCCUGAGUAGAUUGGAGACCUGUUGUGUGUUACCUUUGGAAGGUUUUCCACAGUUGAGAUCCAGUUGCUCCAGCAUCAUUUGUUGAGUGGUCUCUCUUCAUCCACAGAGCUCCAGAGUGUCUCCUCUUACAGGACUUCUACACGUUGGGCACAAAUUUCAGCAUGGCGUUAAGAAGAACUGAAAAGGCAAGAAGUUUAAAAAACAAAGGCUACAUUAAUCCUGAAGAGUUUAAAAUGCAUCAACGAAUUUGUUUAAGCUGUGCAACAGACAUGGUAUCUAGUGGACCAGAGACAGUAUCUGGGAUACAGAGAAUGAUGAAUAAAUAUGAGGUGUUUUUAAUUUCUUCUUCUCUUCCUUGGGAUAAAUUAGAAGAAAGUGGAACCUACAUACAAAAAAAGCUUUUCAUACUUAAAAGCCCACUCUUUUGAGUUCAGUUAAUCUCUCAUUCUGCAAGAACAAGUUUUGUGUCCAAUGCACAGAUGCCACGGCAGAUUGGAGUCUUGGUCUGUCACCCAGGCUGGGGUGCAGCGGCACGAUCUCUGCUCACUGCAACCUCCAUCUCCAGGGUUCAAGCAAUUCUCCUGCUUCAGCCCCUCCUAGUAGCUGGGAUUACAGAUGUAUGCCACCAUGCCAGGCUAAUUAUUGUAUUUUUAGUAGAAAUGGGGUUUUGCCAUCGGCCAGGCUCGUCUUGAACUCCUGACCUCAGGUGAUCCACCUGCCUCAGCCUCCCAAAGUGCUGGGAUUACAGGCGUGAGCCACCACGCCUGGCCAAUUUUACCUCUUUCAAGUAAAAGAAAGAAUGCUUACAAAACUCCCUAUAUUCUUGACGAAGCAAUGACAAAAAUGUAUGCAACACGGAUGAGGCAGGGAGUGCCGCUGUUUCUAGGACUGCAAAGCUGCCCAGCAGACCCAGACUCUGCACCUCCACCCUCCUACUAUCAGCUUUUCUCUCCACCCAGUUUAUCCUGUGAUAAAAUCAAGGAGGAGGAAUCCAUGACACCACUUGGCCAGGGAUCCAUUUACAAUGAAUUGAUAAGCAAAUUAAAUGUGGAGUCAGGAAAAGGAGUUUGAAGGAAACAAAACGGGAAGGAGAUCAAAAAAGGAAAGCGUGAACAUGGCACCUCUCCUGUUCUCUUUCUUUGUAUAGGCAAAACUGAAAGUUUGCUGUUCCCUUUUACAGUGAAGAUUAAACAGGUGUAUAUUGUGACCUAAUAACAAAAGACAAUGUGGCAAAAGGAAGCAUCGAUGAAUUCGUCCACAAAGAGUGCACUUACGGACACAGACAGGCGUUUGUCCAGACCACUUGUGGUCUUGCAGGCAUAUCCUCACGGAAGUUCCCACAAGCCGGAAACCAGGAUUGCACUGGGUCUUGCUCUGUCACUCAAGCUGGAAUGCAGUGGCACCAUCACGGCUCACCGUAGCCUCAAUCCCUUGGGCUCAAGUCAUCUUUUGGCCUCAGCCUCCUGAGGAGAUGGGACUACGCCACCAUGUAGAGUGAACACUCAGAAACUGGCUCCUGAACGAAUCCGGUUCCUUCAGAACUCCAGCAUGCCCCCCUGGGUGACCUAUGUUUUCUGGAAAGCGGUUCUACAAAGCUGUGUUUUAGAGGAGGAAUCUUACUGGCAGACAGGAUUUGGCUUUGUUUAGCUAUCCGUACUGUUUCUGCAACACUUGCUUUUGCUACUGAAAGGAGUUAUGCGGUUUGCAACCUAAAACCACCACACUGAUUGUCAGUGGUGACUUUCUGAGUGACUGACGCAAGGUGGACCCUCAAAGAGACCUGAGGUACUUGUUGGCCGAUUUACCUUCACAUCAUAACGCACGCAGAGUGAACACCUCACAUGCAAGUACAGCAAGAAACCCCAUAUACCAGUGGGAAUGUUGCCACAAUGUCUCCCAUGACAGCGGACAGACCUGGAGCCGUGCAUUCUUUGGGGAGGAAUCGGCUCCUUCCAUUGGAGCUGUAGGAUCUCUCCCCUCUCACCAGGUCUCCCACACACGCACUUUUGCCCCUAGAGGGGCCUACUUGAAGCUCACGUCUUCAGUGUGCAGUGUGUCCACGCUCACAGUCCGCAGUGCUUCCUCUGAACUCUGGGAGCAAGUCUUUGCACAAAAAAGACACUUGGCUGACAGCAUCCGGAAAUCACCUGCAAUCCCAAAGCCUCCGGAAUGCACCUGCAAUCCCACAGCGUCCGGAAUGCACCUGCAAUCCCACAGCAUCUGGAAUGCACCUGCAAUCCCGCAGCAUCUGGAAUGCACCUGCAAUCCCACAGCAUCCGGAAUGCACCUGCAAUCCCACAUCCAUAGCAUCUGGAAUGCACCCGCAAUCCCACAGCAUCCGGAAUGCACCUGCAAUCCCACAGCAUCCGGAAUGCACCCGCAAUCCCACAGCGUCCGGAAUGCACCUGCAAUCCCACAGCAUCCAGAAUGCACAAUCCCACAGCAUCCGGAAAGCACCUGCGAUCCCACAGCAUCUGGAAUGCACCUGCAAUCCCACAGCAUCAGGAAUGCACCUGCAAUCCCACAGCAUCCAGAAUGCACCUGCAAUCCCACAUCCACAGCAUCCGGAAUGCACCCGCAAUCCCACAGCAUCCGGAAUACACCCGCAAUCCCACAGCAUCCGGAAUACACCCGCAAUCCCACAGCAUCCAGAAUGCACCUGCAAUCCAACAGCAUCCGGAAUGCACCGGCAAUCCCACAGCAUCCGGAAUGCACCCGCAGCCCCACAGCAUCCGGAAUACACCCGCAAUCCCACAGCAUCUGGAAUGCACCCGCAAUCCCACAUCCAGAGCAUCCGGAAUGCACCCGCAAUCCCACAGCAUCCGGAAUGCACCCGCAAUCCCACAGCAUCCGGAAUGCACCCGCAAUCCCACAGCAUCCGGAAUGCACCCGCAAUCCCACAGCGUCCGGAAUGCACGUGCAAUCCCACAUCGACAGCGUGUUUUCUCACUGUCCCUGGGGAUUCCAAGCCACUAGCCUCUGUUCCCACAGGAAAGUCUCUUUUUUGUCUCUCCUUCAAUUCUAUGAUUAUAUUCACGUUGAAAUAUAUCAACUUUAAAAAACACUUGUAUUGUGACAUAUCAGUUCUCAUACCUGUAAGGACAGCACUCCUAUCAGAAAUAUGAAUAUUACUUGUGAGUGUGACAAAUAAACAUAAACUCAAGAGUAGGUCUUUUCAAAUACAUUCUAGCUAAAAAAAAAAAAAAAAGCUAAAUGAACAUGCAGACCUCCAUGAAGAAUAAACAGCUGGCAAGAGAAUGUGUGAGCAGGGAGGGGCUCUUUAAUAUGAAUAAAAGGCUCAGUGGACUCACAAUGGCUGUUUGCAAAUACACGAAGGCACUCCGUAUAGAUCAGAGUCAGGAAUUGUUUUAUUAGGCCUAGAGAGAUAGAGCUACCAUCAAUCACUGGAUAUAAGUCACAUAGGAAGCCUGGCACAAAGUAAAAAUGUUCAAACAUGAAAUCAGCUGUCUCUGGGGCAAUGAGCUGUCACUACAGUUAUUUGAUGUUAGCUGGGCAUUGACUUGUGAGAAUAUUAUCAAGAAAAUUCAACUGCAGGUAGUCCUGAGUGAUGUCCAAUGUCCACUCCAGCAAUGGAACGAAAUGACAAUGACUACGCUGUGGUUUCCUCGGAUAUAGACGAAAUACAUCUGCUGAUAAACACAGGCUCCCAUACGUUUAAUGAUCAAUCCAGGCCUGCCUCCAGUAACAAACAGCAGAUCUUCAAAGACCAGCCCGGACACAGACAGCCCAGAAUUUAGGCCAUGUUCUUUGAAUAUCUACAAUAUUACAAAAUUCCAGUGUAGCUCACUGAGUCAGUGUGUGUGUAUAAAAUUAAAAAUGCAAAAAUUAUUUUUUCUGGUUCAGGGAUUUCUGUGAUAAAUGUUUUUCUUUUUAAAUAUGAACAGUAAGUCGAACAAUAAAUAAAUGUAAUAAGACAAGAGUAAGAGCCUUCUACUUGUGUAAAGACUUUGUGCUAGGAAGGUGUGUAGCCGCCUCUACAUAUUCAAUUUUAACUUUCUCUUAUUGUUUCUUGAAGGACAGGACUGCAGAGCUCACUGUUUAAGGGUGACUAUGCUCUCCUGUCCAUUCAUUCAUGGAGACCUGAGUUUUUCUCUAGGGACAUAUUAAAGUAGCCUGGAGUUAGAACAGCACAAACCCUUCAAAAAGUGGUAAAUUUCUCAGCGGAUUCCACAGUUGUCAUGAAUGUGAUUAAUAGGUGAUCAAGGCUCACCUCUUCAUCUGGAGCUACCUAGACAAGCAGAAAGGGAAAUUCUAUUUCCAGCUCCUAAGCAAAUAAGUAACUGAAAACAUUUAAUUUCUGGGAGAUCUUACAAGCAGGGCCACUCUAAAAUGAACACUGGGGAGUCAAAAAAAAAAAAAAAAGGAAAAUGACUGCUCCUUACCUGCACCAAUGACUCGGGUGAUGCUACCCUUGAAGAUUCCGUUGGUCCUGAUCCAACAGAACAUAGAGAGUGACACUGUGUAUCUUCUAUGAAGAAGCUAGCACAGUGUGGAAAAUUGGCCUUACAAAAAUGUGUCAUGUUCAUUACUUUUAAUUAAGGAAUUAAAUUAUGUUUUAAUUUCCUGGGGUUUAUCACACACUUAUUUAAUAGUAAAUUAUAUUAUUACCAGGAUUCAUGGUGUGGUGUGUGUGUGUGUGUAUGUGUGUGCAAAGUAGGAAACAUGAGAGAUAAAUGUAAUUUAAGCAUAGAAUGAAAUAAAAAUGUGUUACAGAAAAAAUGAA